UGGCUCAGAUUGAACGCUGGCGGCAUGCUUUACACAUGCAAGUCGGACGGCAGCGGGGUAGUGCUUGCACUACUGCCGGCGAGUGGCGAACGGGUGAGUAAUAUAUUGGAACGUACCGAGUAAUGGGGGAUAACCAAUCGAAAGAUUGGCUAAUACCGCAUACGCUCCGAGGAGGAAAGCAGGGGACCUUCGGGCCUUGCGUUAUUCGAGCGGCCAAUAUCUGAUUAGCUAGUUGGUGGGGUAAAGGCCUACCAAGGCAACGAUCAGUAGCGGGUCUGAGAGGAUGAUCCGCCACACUGGGACUGAGACACGGCCCAGACUCCUACGGGAGGCAGCAGUGGGGAAUUUUGGACAAUGGGCGCAAGCCUGAUCCAGCCAUGCCGCGUGUCUGAAGAAGGCCUUCGGGUUGUAAAGGACUUUUGUUAGGGAAGAAAAAGGAGCGGUUAAUACCCGUUUCUGCUGACGGUACCUAAAGAAUAAGCACCGGCUAACUACGUGCCAGCAGCCGCGGUAAUACGUAGGGUGCGAGCGUUAAUCGGAAUUACUGGGCGUAAAGCGAGCGCAGGCGGUUAGAUAAGUCUGAAGUUAAAGGCUGUGGCUUAACCAUAGUACGCUUUGGAAACUGUUUAACUUGAGUGCAAGAGGGGAGAGUGGAAUUCCAUGUGUAGCGGUGAAAUGCGUAGAUAUAUGGAGGAACACCGGUGGCGAAAGCGGCUCUCUGGCUUGUAACUGACGCUGAGGCUCGAAAGCGUGGGGAGCAAACAGGAUUAGAUACCCU
rnacentral:rRNA from 1 species